GUGCCAGCCGCCGCGGUAAUACCGGCAGCCCGAGUGAUGGCCGAUCUUAUUGGGCCUAAAGCGUCCGUAGCUGGCUGCGCAAGUCCGUCGGGAAAUCCACUCGCCCAACGAGUGGGCGUCCGGCGGAAACUGUGUGGCUUGGAACCGGAAGGCUCAGAGGGUACGUCCGGGGUAGGAGUGAAAUCCCGUAAUCCUGGACGGACCGCCGAUGGCGAAAGCACGUCGCGAAGACGGAUCCGACAGUGAGGGACGAAAGCUAGGGUCUCGAACCGGAUUAGGAACCGUGUAGUCC
rnacentral:rRNA from 1 species